GCUCAUUUGGUGGAAUUGGUAGACACGUCAGACUUAAAAUCUGAUUUUAAUUAUUAAAGUAUCGGUUCAAGUCCGGUAAUGAGUA
rnacentral:tRNA from 1 species